UGAACGCUGGCGGAAUGCUUUACACAUGCAAGUCGAACGGCAGCACGGGUGCUUGCACCUGGUGCGGACGUCGGACGGGAACGGGGUCGAGUUAAACGUAUAUCGGAACGUAUCCAAUAAUGGGGGAUAACUAGCCGAAAGGUUAGCUAAUACCGCAUACGCCCUGAGGGGAAAGCUGGGAUCGUAAGACCUAGCGUUGAUGGAGCGGCCGAUAUCUGAUUAGCUAGUUGGUGGGGUAAGAGCCUACCAAGGCGACGAUCAGUAGCUGGUCUGAGAGGACGACCAGCCACACUGGAACUGAGACACGGUCCAGACUCCUACGGGAGGCAGCAGUGGGGAAUUUUGGACAAUGGGGCAACCCUGAUCCAGCCAUUCCGCGU
rnacentral:rRNA from 1 species